rnacentral:rRNA from 1 species
AGAGUUUGAUCCUGGCUCAGGACGAACGCUGGCGGCGCGCCUAACACAUGCAAGUCGAACGAGCGAGAGAGAGCUUGCUUUCUCGAGCGAGUGGCGAACGGGUGAGUAACGCGUGAGGAACCUGCCUCAAAGAGGGGGACAACAGUUGGAAACGACUGCUAAUACCGCAUAAGCCCACGACCCGGCAUCGGGUAGAGGGAAAAGGAGCAAUCCGCUUUGAGAUGGCCUCGCGUCCGAUUAGCUAGUUGGUGAGGUAACGGCCCACCAAGGCGACGAUCGGUAGCCGGACUGAGAGGUUGAACGGCCACAUUGGGACUGAGACACGGCCCAGACUCCUACGGGAGGCAGCAGUGGGGAAUAUUGCACAAUGGGGGAAACCCUGAUGCAGCGACGCCGCGUGGAGGAAGAAGGUCUUCGGAUUGUAAACUCCUGUUGUUGAGGAAGAUAAUGACGGUACUCAACAAGGAAGUGACGGCUAACUACGUGCCAGCAGCCGCGGUAAAACGUAGGUCACAAGCGUUGUCCGGAAUUACUGGGUGUAAAGGGAGCGCAGGCGGGAAGACAAGUUGGAAGUGAAAUCCAUGGGCUCAACCCAUGAACUGCUUUCAAAACUGUUUUUCUUGAGUAGUGCAGAGGUAGGCGGAAUUCCCGGUGUAGCGGUGGAAUGCGUAGAUAUCGGGAGGAACACCAGUGGCGAAGGCGGCCUACUGGGCACCAACUGACGCUGAGGCUCGAAAGUGUGGGUAGCAAACAGGAUUAGAUACCCUGGUAGUCCACACCGUAAACGAUGAUUACUAGGUGUUGGAGGAUUGACCCCUUCAGUGCCGCAGUUAACACAAUAAGUAAUCCACCUGGGGAGUACGACCGCAAGGUUGAAACUCAAAGGAAUUGACGGGGGCCCGCACAAGCAGUGGAGUAUGUGGUUUAAUUCGACGCAACGCGAAGAACCUUACCAAGUCUUGACAUCCUGCGACGCACAUAGAAAUAUGUGUUUCCUUCGGGACGCAGAGACAGGUGGUGCAUGGUUGUCGUCAGCUCGUGUCGUGAGAUGUUGGGUUAAGU